ACUAUAGGUACGGAGUAUCUUUGCAGAAGUGAAACUCGUGCCUGAACUAUUGACGUUUGUGUCACCAAAUUGGGCGAAGGGGAUCUGAAGCACCAUUUAUGGGGAAUGUUGCUGGUUCUUUGGAAACGUCAGUAUUUUCUGCGGGACUUUCUUACAGCCAGUUCACCGUUCAGUUUAGCGGACGAAAGUUUGCGGACUCGUACAGAUCUGGUUGCCAAAUGUACGAAGUAACAUUGGUUUGGCCUGCACGAAGCCUUGAGGACGCGAGCCUUUCUGUCGAUUUCAAAACAGUUUCCCAUCCGCGUCGAUCGACAGAUCGGAAUUCCAGGGCCCGCGAGCGGGACAUCCGGCGUUCUCAUCGGAAUGCGCGUUUCCAUCGGUUUCUCGGAGACCAAGGAGAGGUCCCCCAUCAGUCCUACUGAUGGAAACGGAAAAGGGGACCUCGUUGAGAAACAUAAUAACGACAGCAACGAGAAUAAAAAUGCUCGCAGCCCACUUCCGGCUGGCAGCUGUGAGGAAGGGAGCCUCCUGAGUUCCGGCAAGAGGGAGAAAGAGCUCAAGACCGAGGGGAACGUGGCACUCGUUCAAUUUUAACUUACUCAAGAUCGGUGGCCACGUGCUCCGAAUGGAACUUUCCCUUUCCGCAUUUUAAACCUAGAACCCGUGGGGUGCAAAAGGUACCGCAGAACCCACCAGGCAUCUUCAAGAGCUACCUCUUGCGAAGAAAAUUCACCGUGGAUGAUUUAUUAUCUGAUGUAUAUUUAACCCUUCGCAUUCGAAAGUUUUUCACUGGGAACAUUCAACAUUUUCCAAUUAGAUAUUCUUUGAAACUUACUGAUGAGAAAAAGUACACAGAUUGCGAAACAAAGCGAUUUGAAUAUUUCACAUAAUGAUGCACAAAAUCAACGCUAUAGCUAUAUGAAACUUUAUAAUUUUGGUACAUCAAAUCAAGGGGUAACUGAGAAUCAACUCUCGACUGCGAAGGGUUAACACGUUAAGCGCCGCGAAAAUCUUGUCCGUUUUUCGGUAGAGUUAUUCUUUCGUAGCGAAAGAAAGUAGGAACAAUUAUUCAUUAUUUGGCGUUGCCAACUUGCGAACUUAUUAGUUCGUUGAAUGUCUUUUCAAACAUACCAAUUGUCUAAUGUUGCUUGUUAAUAUAAAUGUUGAAUGAAAUCUUUGUCAACUAAAUGAAAGCUAGUUCGUAUCCCUAUGGAAGGUUGCUUACAAUGAAAGGGCGAGAAAAUUCUGACGUACAGAGUUAAUUAGAAACAUCUGGCUCUAGCACUAUGGUAAUGAUGUGACAAAAGAAGAAAAUACCUACAUAAAUAAAAUUUCUACACUCGUUAUUCAUUCACAUUUCUAUGUUAUAUUGUAUACAGUCUUUUAAAGAAUGGUUACAAUUAAUACGUGAUUAUAUGGAAAUGAAAUAUUUUAUUCGAAAAACAAUAUAAAACGUAUUUUAUACUUCGUUCAUCGCCACCUUUUACAGUAUGAUAAUUGAGUAAACAAUGCUCAAUUUUAAGCAAAUUCGUGAUACAGAUGUACAGUUGCCUUUCAAUGCAAACAAUCAAAUAACAACUGUUAUUUAUUUCACUUCAACGUUGUCCCUGUUUUUCAUCAAAAUUAAUAUUAUAAUAAAAUUUAGUUGUAAAUUGUAUACAAUCUCGAAUAAUUGUAGUUGUCGCGUUAUCAUUUAUGCUAUUAUAAGUAACUAUUAAAUUAUUCUACUAAAAAAGUCC